rnacentral:lncRNA from 1 species
UUGACUGGAUUAGUCCCCUUCUUAAGAUGUAUAUGAUGUUCAAUGGUACAUUGUGGUGGCAACUCUCCAGGCCAACCAAAAACAUCUUCAUUCUUAGCUAACACGGCUGGAAUAGACUCAUGAGUGGUAGGCACUUCAUCAACCCCAUACAUCGCUACAAAUGCCAUUCCACCUUCCAAAGAUCUACACUCAAUCAGAAAUCCUUGAUCAAGUUCUGUCCAUGUCUUCAUCAUGUGCUUCAAACUCACCCUAGCCUUCGUAUGACUCGGAUCUCCC